rnacentral:rRNA from 1 species
UACGGAGGGGGCUAGCGUUGUUCGGAAUUACUGGGCGUAAAGCGCACGUAGGCGGCUUUGUAAGUUAGAGGUGAAAGCCCGGGGCUCAACUCCGGAAUUGCCUUUAAGACUGCAUCGCUAGAAUUGUGGAGAGGUAAGUGGAAUUCCGAGUGUAGAGGUGAAAUUCGUAGAUAUUCGGAAGAACACCAGUGGCGAAGGCGACUUACUGGACACAUAUUGACGCUGAGGUGCGAAAGCAUGGGUAGCAAACAGG